AUGACUCACAACUCCCUCCUUCUCUCGCCCCUUUCCUUUUUCUCCUGUCCUCUCUCUUUCCUCAGGUUUGUCCUGUCCUCUCUCUUUCCUCAGGGUUGUCCUGUCCUCUCUCUUUCCUCAGGGUUGUCCUGUCCUCUCUCUUUCCUCAGGGUUGUCCUGUCCUCUCUCUUUCCUCAGGGUUGUCCUGUCCUCUCUCUUUCCUCAGGGUUGUCCUGUCCUCUCUCUUUCCUCAGGUUGUCCUGUCCUCUCUCUUUCCUCAGGGUUGUCCUGUCCUCUCUCUUUCCUCAGGUUGUCCUGUCCUCUCUCUUUCCUCAGGUUGUCCUGUCCUCUCUCUUUCCUCAGGUUUGUCCUGUCCUCUCUCUUUCCUCAGGUUUGUCCUGUCCUCUCUCUUUCCUCAGGUUUGUCCUGUCCUCUCUCUUUCCUCAGGUUUGUCCUGUCCUCUCUCUUUCCUCAGGUUUGUCCUGUCCUCUCUCUUUCCUCAGGUUUGUCCUGUCCUCUCUCUUUCCUCAGGUUUGUCCUGUCCUCUCUCUUUCCUCAGGUUUGUCCUGUCCUCUCUCUUUCCUCAGGUUUGUCCUGUCCUCUCUCUUUCCUCAGGUUUGUCCUGUCCUCUCUCUUUCCUCAGGUUGUCCUGUCCUCUCUCUUUCCUCAGGUUUGUCCUGUCCUCUCUCUUUCCUCAGGUUGUCCUGUCCUCUCUCUUUCCUCAGGUUUGUCCUGUCCUCUCUCUUUCCUCAGGUUUGUCCUGUCCUCUCUCUUUCCUCAGGUUUGUCCUGUCCUCUCUCUUUCCUCAGGGUUGUCCUGUCCUCUCUCUUUCCUCAGGGUUGUCCUGUCCUCUCUCUUUCCUCAGGGUUGGUCCUGUCCUCUCUCUUUCCUCAGGGUUGGUCCUGUCCUCUCUCUUUCCUCAGGGUUGGUCCUGUCCUCUCUCUUUCCUCAGGGUUGGUCCUGUCCUCUCUCUUUCCUCAGGGUUGGUCCUGUCCUCUCUCUUUCCUCAGGGUUGGUCCUGUCCUCUCUCUUUCCUCAGGGUUGGUCCUGUCCUCUCUCUUUCCUCAGGGUUGGUCCUGUCUUUGA
rnacentral:lncRNA from 1 species